ensembl:lncRNA
CAUACCCUGAACCCGGCCAUUUGUCCGAUGUUCGGAUAACCUCACACAGCCGGUUUGACAAAUCAAUAGUAACAACUUGUGAAGGUAGUCCAACAGUUUCAUUCGGUCGUCAUUGGAAACUGGGUUCUCGGUUCAAUUUCUCAAGUUAUACAUUAUGCAAGGUAGACACACAUGACCCCUCUAUACUUUGUAUUAAAGGCAUGGCUAGCGGUAAAAUUAGCAUCUGUUAAAUUCUAUUUAUGAUAUUGUAAUAACAUAUUACGUCAUAUAUUGAAAUAUAAUGGUAUAUUUACGAUAUUAGUUCUAUAUUAUGUUAAAUGGUAUUAGAAAUAUGGAAUACGAUGCUAUUUUAUGAUAUUAUUUCUAUGAUAUUAAGUUAAAUUAUAUUAGAAAUAUGGAAUACGAUGCUAUUUUAUGAUAUUAGUUCUACGGUAUUAAGUUAGUUAUAUUAGACAUAUGGAAUACGAGGCUAUUUUAUUUUAGUUCUACGAUAUGAAGUUGAAUUGUAUUAGAAAUAAGGAAUACGAUGCUAUUUUAUGAUAUUAGUUCUACGGUUUUAAGUUAGUUAUAUUAGACAUAUGGAAUACGAGGCUAUUUUAUUUUAGUUCUACAAUAUGAAGUUAAAUUGUAUUAGAAAUAAGGAAUACGAUGCUAUUUUAUGAUAUUCGUUCUACGAUAUUAUGUUCUAAGUAAGUAUAAAGCCAUGUCUCCUAUAUUAGUUCUACUAUAUUAUGUCAUAUCAGUGUUUCCCCUAUGUUCCCAACUAUGGGGGCGGACGUAUCGGAGGGGGGCGUGGGUGUUGGGGCGCGCUGGGGGAUACAAUGGUAGGGAAAACACUGUAUAUGAAAUUAUGUUAUAUAAUAUUAGAAAUAAAGGUGUAAUGCCAUGUCUCCUAUAUUGGUUCCACUAUAUUAUGUCAUAUCAGUGUUUCCCCUAUGUUCCCAACUAUGGGGGCGGACGUAUCGGAGGGGGCGUGGGUGUUGGGGCGCGCUGGGGGAUACAAUGGUAGGGAAAAACUGUAUAUGAAAUUAUGUUAUAUAAUAUUAGAAAUAAAGGUGUAAUGCCAUGUCUCCUAUAUUGGUUCUACUAUAUUAUGUCAUAUCAGUGUUUCCCCUAUGUUCCCAACUAUGGGGGCGGACGUAUCGGAGGGGGGCGUGGGUGUUGGGGCG